UGAACAACUCUCUCUCUCUCGAUACAUUUAUUCGCAAUACUCGGUGCAUUUCAGAGCGUGGAUUGGAAACGUCGUCUCCGUAGUCCAAAUUUCAAAUUUCCGAAAUUCGAAUUCAAAUUUAAAUUUGUCCGCGGCAUGGAAGAAGACGCCCACGUGAACCAUCGCGCUUUGGAAUCCCCAGCACAUCCUGGAAGUUCGUGUUUCCGUUUUCCAAGCUCCAGCUCGCUAAAACGCGCAUCGUCUUCUGCUCUGAUGGAGCUUCGCCGCUGCGAGAUCUGUAGCACUUUCCUCAAUUCCGCACGCGCAUGAAAUCGCCGCACAGAUUUCAGCUGCGGAGGCUUGGUUUUUUCGUCAUCGAAGCCUCACUCUGGUCGAAGCAUGUUCGCGAGGGAUGAAGUCCGGCGUUGGAGGUAGAGGCAGAGGAUGUGGCUGGUUCUGUUCACGUUGCGCAGGAUUAGGUUGGGAACAAUUCGGAAUCCCUGAGUUUCCAUUCUUGUUGUAAAGAGAACAGUCGGCUUUGGACCAUAACCCUAAGCUGAGAUCGUUGGCAGUGAAUUGGAUGGCAUUUGUAAUAUAGAGUGGUUGCCUUUCUCCGCGUCGACCUUGCUAUUCGUGUCCGUCGAUCUCGAUGAAUAUAAUAAAGGUCUGUUGAAUUUCAUCCGGAGGAGUGAGUUCAGAUUUGCUAUGGUUUUGAUUGCGACAAUGAAUACUAUGAACCAUGACAACUUCUCGAUCAUGGCUGACAAAGCUGCCUUCAUGUCCGUUGGUAGUCAGAGGAUUGGCAGCGAUGCAGAGUGCCCCAUCCUGUCACUGCAAUUAUCGGUUUAGGUUUCAUGGUAUUUUAAUAUGAUGGAGUAGAAUGCGUCGGGUCGUACUCCACGAUUGCAGCUCUCAAUUGUGGUCGCCAUGGAUUGUUGGAACUUCUCUGUCACUGCUGUUAGAUCAUGGACAAGGGCACGUUCUGGAGGCUGAACAGGGUGGUAGCUGGACCUGACGGCUUGUCAUUGCAGAGCUCAAUGGAUAGAUGUGUUGGGUUUCUAUCAAAGAUUGCUCCUACUAAAUAUAUUGCAAGAAACUGAGGGGACAGGUGUCCCAUGAUCCUAAGUGUUUGAGUAUUUAAUAGAAUUUCGCGAACACAAGAUUGCCCGAUUACGAAUCGCCAGGUUUUUGGCAGUGCGUGGAAACCUUAUACAAUAUUUUAGAUUAACUCGUCGAUGCACGAGCUGCGCGAGCCAAUUAUACACUACUCCACGCUUAUUCAAAUCUCGGACCGCAAUAUAAGAUAAUGACGGCUUCUUGGAAACUUCAGCUAGCAAUUGCAAUCAAUGAUUUCGAUUGGACUAAUAUGGUACUACUACUUGCUGAUAAAUUCCUCAAAAGCUACCCAAAAGUCGGGAGAGGUGACAGUUAUACUUGGAAAGUUCUGCUUCGGGGUAAGAGUAUUGGUUUCCGUGCUCACAGUUUUGUCGUGCAUCUGUGUUAAUCGAGUAUUUGUCAUGAACCGGCAUCCUGCUUGAUCUCGUACUUAUGAUUAUUAUUAUUAUUAUUAUCCGACAUAUACUGGUAGACCUGUCGCACUGAUUGAUAUGGGGUUGAAUAUUCCACCUGAAGACAUGCCCUUAUUAACGUACAUUGAGUCGAUGAUACGUCAUGAGUGAUCAGGCUGUCUGGUACCGAUCUUGGAAUAUUGAAAUAUUACAAGCACCGAUUGAUCGACGGUCAUUAAGGUUAAUGAGUGGAACCCUUAACGAUCAAGGGUUUUCUGUGCCAAUCUACAUUCUGAUGUCACGCUCUUCAUUCCUUGCGAAUAAAUUUAGACAUAAGAUUUGGGGUUCGAUGUGCCUGUUUUGUCAUGAACUUCUGAUUUCUUCACCAGACGAUCUCGUCGCACAUCUGAUAUGGAUUUGCCAAGAGCAGGACAGGUUUUCCACGACUCCAUUCAUUGAGUUUUAUGAUCUCUGGUAUAAUCGUAUUUUUGUCAUCUUCUACAUCCCACAUAGCUAAGCUUGGAUACUGAUUUAGAUUCUAUGCUAGAUCUUCUUCAACAAGUUUAGGUUAUAAUUUUAGAUUUGAGGGUCGGAGGUGAUAAAACAUAAUGACCACGAUAUCUGAAUAAGCGUAGUUACCAGGCACUUUGUGCUACUAUGACGCAUGUCCAUAAUUCAUGUGAGGUUUCAAAUCUCUGACUCGGAUAUUUUCUAGCUCGAUAAAGAAAAUGAGUGUCCUGCCUGUAAUUCGCAUCCAACGGACAGGUUUUUUUUUAUAAAAAGAAAUCAGUUACAGGUAAUCAUUCCCAGCUGAAUCUGACAAAAGAUCGAUGCGCAAUAUUCGCUCAUAUUCUGAAGGGUUUGAAUCACGUUUCGGAAGGUAGAAGUCUAGAGUCCCCAGACCUGUGUUAACAACAGGUUCUACCAUUGUGUUCUUCUGAGGCGCCAGAGACGUUGUGAUCGAAGUCAUUUUGCUUGUCCAAGUUAUUGCAUUCUUUACGCGAGUCAUUUGUGUGUAAUAUUUUCUGCAGGAAAUCCCGGCAGAGAGGUACUCCUUAGUAUAUUCAUUUUAACUUCUAUGAAUGAAGCUUGGAAGCAGUUAAUGCAUGGAUGAUGAAACCAGACGUCCUCAGAGGAGGGCACAUGACACAAGUAAACCUAGUUCAGAAUGCGAAAAAAGUUCAGGAAAAGGUCAGCAUUUCGAAGUGGUGCAAUCUGACCUUGUUGUGACGUGCAAGUUAAACGUAAAGUAAAAGACAACCAUUGUCAGUGCAUUUAAUCAAAUCUAAUUUGACGGCAUCUCGAAGCAGGCUCCUCUGCACGUAUGAAUUACGUUCAUUUUAUAGAAAUAUUCAAAGUUUUGAGGUAAUUUUUAUUGCAGAACUGUUUUUCAACAGAUUCCAACAGGAAAACGCUGUAAAUUUGAAAGAAUGUUCGAGUUAUAGUAGCGAAUACGUGUAUUGAAACAGAAUUCGUUCGAUGGUAAAUUAUGGAUUCGUGAAUGUUAUGGCUCUCCGGAGUUCAUUUCUGCAAUCCGUAUGAGAAGGCGAAACUUUCCAAUUCUUUUCUUUGUUGUAGGUCCACAUACAAGAAUUGACAACUCUCUUAUUGCUGAUCUGUUUAUGUUUUGAAGGCUCUGCAUAAGACCUGCGCAAAAACAUUUACAAUGAAAUAGGAUUCAUCAUCUUUCCAGCGGGAGUACAUUGUUUGAAUGCCGGCUUGGUUGGUUCAAACUGAGGAGAGUCUACCUGAAAUACAUCUGGUGUGGAACGUGGAUAGGUUUCCUGUAAUGCUGGCAAACGCCGCCAGUGUUUACUACUUGAACAUGUGCAAGAGACCUGUUCUAGCACCUGCUCACCUAAAGGUCCACCGAUCACGAACGCGACCAUACAGGCUAGUCGUGCCACAGACGUAUGGCACAUCUGAUCACAAACGUGGGACGUUGUUUUGGAGGAUCAAACCUCUGCCCUACCGUACAAACGCUCCUUUCCUCGAUGACCACUGCAUCGAAAUCUUCUGUGCUUUCACUGAAAGCUCGCAGCGCACGUUCCACUUCUCUUGCUCGUUCUUUUUUUCGUUUUUCUUAUUAUUAUAUUAUUUUCUCGUGAACACUUAGCGAAGUGGUUGUCACUGCCCCAAGAGUGUUGAGCAGGAACACGAAAUGCACAGAACUGAUAAAUUCAGCUCAAGUCGAAUGUGAGCUCGAGAAAAGAAACACAAUCAAUAUUGCGCAACAAGGAAUUCUGUGCAUCGUCUGAAGAUGCGCAUUGGAGGUUGAAUUGGAGCAAAGCUGUAAGGAUGUCACGAGUCAGCCCCGAAGACGAGGAUGGCUCGAAUCCAAAUGGAACAUUCUAGGUUUGAUGCAUUUGCUUAGAAUCUUGAAUGUGGAAUCUGGAGAUGCAGUGAAGUAAGAGCAUCGCCACCGGUUGGCGCCAACUCUCGCAACAUCUCGGUGGAUGGCGUGGUGGCAUGGCGCACGUGCCGGGACGGCCCCGGCACGGUCCCCACCCCUCCCCGCCAAUAUGGACAGCAAAAGAGAGGGUGUGGGCCCACUCAGAGCCCGUGUGAGACAGCCAGGUGGCGUCGACCGUAUGGCAGGGUGGUCAGUAUCUGCCAGGCUCUGUGACACGUGGCGGUAUAAUAUUGGCUUUUGAAUGGGCCCCAUGAAAGGACAGGCCCGGCCUCACUAAGUCGUUUUCACGGCAGCCAAACGCCAAAAUCCGCCGUGCCCGCCCUCACCCCCACCCUCGAGGGGGCCUUGGUGGAGAAGUUUUUGAGGGCGGGAGAGCGUGGCUGCCCGAUGGCCCGAGCGUUGGCACCACCAGUGGCUAUGCUCUAAGGAACUCACAGGAUCACUGACCCCAGAGCAACUGUUGAUGUUGUUGAUGGAGGUGGUGUUGGGGCGAGUGGCUGUUGGGUGAUAUUAAUGUUGUUAAUGGCCCACUUGGCCUUGGUUAUGAUGUUUGAGGAAACGACAAUGUCACAUUGUUUGGUGGAAUCACAAAAAUAAAAGUUGUUUCUGAUGAUGAUA